GAGUUUGAUCCUGGCUCAGAUUGAACGCUGGCGGAAUGCUUUACACAUGCAAGUCGAGCGGCAGCGCGGGGCAACCUGGCGGCGAGCGGCGAACGGGUGAGUAAUGCAUCGGAACAUGUCCAUGUCGUGGGGGAUAGCUCGGCGAAAGCCGAAUUAAUACCGCAUACGCCCGAGAGGGGAAAGCCGGGGACCGCAAGGCCUGGCGCGAUUGGGUUGGCCGAUGUCCGAUUAGCUAGUUGGUGGGGUAAAGGCCCACCAAGGCGAUGAUCGGUAGCUGGUCUGAGAGGAUGAUCAGCCACACUGGGACUGAGACACGGCCCAGACUCCUACGGGAGGCAGCAGUGGGGAAUUUUGGACGAUGGGGGAAACCCUGAUCCAGCCAUUCCGCGUGAGUGAAGAAGGCC
rnacentral:rRNA from 1 species